UACGAGGGGGGCAAGCGUUGUUCGGAAUUAUUGGGCGUAAAGGGCGCGUAGGCGGUGCGGUAAGUCUGAUGUGAAAUCUCCGGGCUCAACUCGGAGUCUGCAUCAGAAACUGCCGUGCUCGAGUGUGGGAGAGGUGAGUGGAAUUCCCGGUGUAGCGGUGAAAUGCGUAGAUAUCGGGAGGAACGCCUGUGGCGAAAGCGGCUCACUGGACCACAACUGACGCUGAGGCGCGAAAGCUAGGGGAGCA
rnacentral:rRNA from 1 species